rnacentral:lncRNA from 1 species
AGAAAGAAAGAAGAAAAGAAAAGAAAAAAAAGAAAAGAAAAGUCUACCUUGGGUGAUACAUGCAUACCUGGAUGCUGCUGCAGAACCUGCAGAACCAAGAACCUUCAUCCUGUACCAUUCUGCAGCUCUCGGGUUAUCAAAAGAAAUCACUGAUUAUUUAAAUAAAAACCACAGGAUGCUACUCUAGUGUGUCCACCUACAUUAAGACCAGAUCUUUCCCACUCAGCCCACAGGCUCACAUGCCAAUCCCUUUUGGAAACACCCUUACAGACACACCUGGGGCAACCCAAUUAUUGGAAUCAAAUCCCAAACCACCUGGGUUUCCCUU